rnacentral:rRNA from 1 species
AGAUUGAACGCUGGCGGCAGGCCUAACACAUGCAAGUCGAGCGGCAGCACGGGUACUUGUACCUGGUGGCGAGCGGCGGACGGGUGAGUAAUGCCUAGGAAUCUGCCUGGUAGUGGGGGAUAACGCUCGGAAACGGACGCUAAUACCGCAUACGUCCUACGGGAGAAAGCAGGGGACCUUCGGGCCUUGCGCUAUCAGAUGAGCCUAGGUCGGAUUAGCUAGUUGGUGAGGUAAUGGCUCACCAAGGCGACGAUCCGUAACUGGUCUGAGAGGAUGAUCAGUCACACUGGAACUGAGACACGGUCCAGACUCCUACGGGAGCAGCAGUGGGGAAUAUUGGACAAUGGGACGAAAGCCUGAUCCAGCAAUGCCGCGUGCAGGAUGAAGGCCGUUCGGUUGUAAACUGUCUUUUGUACGGUAACGUAAACGGUUCUAC